rnacentral:tRNA from 1 species
AAAGGAUUAGUUAAAUUAACUUUAGUAUGUCAUGCUAAAAUUACUAGUAUAAAUCUAGUAUCCUUUA